AUUGAACGCUGGCGGAAUGCUUUACACAUGCAAGUCGAACGGCAGCACGGGGGCAGCCCUGGUGGCGAGUGGCGAACGGGUGAGUAAUACAUCGGAACGUGCCCGGUCGUGGGGGAUAACGUAGCGAAAGUUACGCUAAUACCGCAUACGAUCUGAGGAUGAAAGCGGGGGACCUUCGGGCCUCGCGCGAUCGGAGCGGCCGAUGUCAGAUUAGGUAGUUGGUGGGGUAAAGGCCUACCAAGCCGACGAUCUGUAGCUGGUCUGAGAGGACGACCAGCCACACGGGGAGUGGGACAGGGCCCAGCCGCCUGAGGGAGGCAGCAGUGGGGAAUUUGGGACAGGGGGCGAAAGCCUGACCCAGCCAUCCCGCGCGAGGGACAAAGCCCUCGGGUUUGUAAGUUCGUUUUGUGGGGAAAAAAAAGCUUUGGCCUAUACCCGGGGGCUCAUGACGGUACCGAAAAAAAAAGCACCGGCUAACUACGUG
rnacentral:rRNA from 1 species